UCAGCCUCUUGCAAUUUUUUUCCUCUCUUUCGUGUCUGGAGCAUGCUCCUUGCCUUUCUGUCGCUUGAUGAUUUCUGCUCUCAAUUCCUUCUGUUUUUUCUUCCGUGUGUUCCUCUGCACUCUCCCCCAUGUCACUGCCUUACAGAGCACCUCCUCCCUACGAUGCUCCUCGAGAUUGACUGUUUUAUUCUUGCAGGCCCGCAUCCUACAUGACAAAUAACACAUGGUGGCAUUGGGAGAUUUCAGUUUCGAUGAGCUAAACAUCCCCAUUAUCUCCUCCGCAUCAAUGUUGUGUGAACUUGCUGCUGCAGUCUCCUCCUUAAGUUUCUCAGUUACAUCAAGUUCAAAGUAUUUACUAUACUGCCUCUCCAACACAGUGAUGACAGCUUGAAGACAGCU